CGGGGUUCUGGCCGGGUGGGGCUAUGCCCGUUCUCGUCGGGUGGUCGGGACGGCCGGGUCGGUGCGGCCGCGGCGGUCUCGA
rnacentral:tRNA from 3 species